UCCUAUCCUCUUCAUUUCCUUCUAUGCCUAUCUCACAGAAUAAAAUAUAUCCCCAUCAUUUUCUUUCUUUCUUGCAGUUCCAGAAUUACUGACCAACACAAAGUAUGUAUAGAAAGUAUAAAGAUGACAGGAGAAAUGCCUGAAUAAAUAUGCUCUUUUACGUAGCAAACUUUUGGCUCAAGAAGAGAGAACAUUCGUCUUUUUCAAGAGAAGUGGAAGAAAAGGCAAGCAAGAAAGUAUGGAAGGGAAAGUGAGAUAAAGAAAGCAAGCUUCAGCCUGAGGAAGAACUGCUGUUGGAACAGAAAAAGGCAGAUGGUAAUGUGUAUGCGAAGUGUGGUUGUAAUUAUUUUAUUACCUAGGCAAGCAUAAGGCUUGUUUAUGUGAGAAGAGGUGAUUAAUUCCUUUGGGUCAUAAGAGAAAAAUUCCAGACCUGUAACAGAUUUCUCUGGUGAGCUACUGAAUUCUUUGUAUCUACCCCUCUGCCAGGCUGUACCUUCUCUGCAUCACCUCUAAACACAAUAAAUAAAUAAACAGAAAAAAAUCCCAGAAAGAAAUUUGGUUUCAUGGAUGAAGUCUUGCCUCC